rnacentral:rRNA from 1 species
CAAAAAAGCGGGGCCAGUUCAGAUUGAGGGCUGCAAUUCGCCCUCAUGAAGCCGGAAUCGCUAGUAAUCGCGCAUCAGACACGGCGCGAUGAAUACGUUCCCGGGUCUUGUACACACCGCCCGUCAAGCCACCUGAAUUGAUUGCACCCGAAACCGUUUCUCCUGACUCGCAAGAGAGGGAGGCGACUAAGGUGUGGUCGGUGAGGAGGGCUAAGUCGUAACAAGGUAGCCGUACCGGAAGGUGCGGCUGGAUCACCUCCUUU